CCUACGGGAGGCUGCAGUGGGGAAUUUUGGACAAUGGGGGCAACCCUGAUCCAGCCAUGCCGCGUGAGUGAAGAAGGCCUUCGGGUUGUAAAGCUCUUUCAGCCGGGAAGAAAACGCAUGGGUUAAUACCCUGUGUGGAUGACGGUACCGGAAUAAGAAGCACCGGCUAACUACGUGCCAGCAGCCGCGGUAAUACGUAGGGUGCUAGUGGUCAUCGGAAUUACUGGGCGGGAAGCGUGAGCAGGCGGUGAAAUCCCCGGGCUCAACCUGGGAACUGCGUUUGUGACUGCAAGGCUAGAGUAUGGCAGAGGGGGGUGGAAUUCCACGUGUAGCAGUGAAAUGCGUAGAGAUGUGGAGGAACACCGAUGGCGAAGGCAGCCCCCUGGGCCAAUACUGACGCUCAUGCACGAAAGCGUGGGUAGCAAACAGGAUUAGAUACCCGAGUAGUC
rnacentral:rRNA from 1 species